GACGAACGCUGGCGGCGUGCUUAACACAUGCAAGUCGAACGGAAAGGCCCUGCUCUUGCGGGGUGCUCGAGUGGCGAACGGGGGAGUAUCACGCGAGUAACCUGCCCUUGUCAUAGGGGUAAAUCCAGGAAACUGGGGCUAUUAUACGAUAGGAGCUCUUGAAGCAUGGGGGGGGUUGGAAAAUUUCGGCGGUGCGGGAUGGACUCGCGGCUUAUCAGCUUGUUGGUGGGGUAGUGGCUUACCAAGGCUUUGACGGGUAGCCGGCCUGGGAGGGUGACCGGCCACAUUGGGACUGCGGUACGGCCCAGACUCCUACGGGCGGCAGCGGUGGGGAAUCUUGCGCAAUGGGCGGAAGCGUGAUGCAGCAACGCCGCGUGCGGGAUGCCGGCCUUCGGGUUGUAAACCGCUUUCGCCUGUGACGAAGCGUGAGUGACGGUAAUGGGUAAAGAAGCACCGGCUAACUACGUG
rnacentral:rRNA from 1 species